rnacentral:rRNA from 1 species
GAUGAACGCUGGCGGCGUGCCUAAUACAUGCAAGUCGAGCGAACAGACGAGGAGCUUGCUCCUCUGACGUUAGCGGCGGACGGGUGAGUAACACGUGGAUAACCUACCUAUAAGACUGGGAUAACUUCGGGAAACCGGAGCUAAUACCGGAUAAUAUAUUGAACCGCAUGGUUCAAUAGUGAAAGACGGUUUUGCUGUCACUUAUAGAUGGAUCCGCGCCGCAUUAGCUAGUUGGUAAGGUAACGGCUUACCAAGGCAACGAUGCGUAGCCGACCUGAGAGGGUGAUCGGCAACACUGGAACUGAGACACGGUCCAGACUCCUACGGGAGGCAGCAGUAGGGAAGCAUCCGCAAUGGGCGAAAGCCUGACGGAGCAACGCCGCGUGAGUGAUGAAGGUCUUCGGAUCGUAAAACUCUGUUAUUAGGAAAGAACAAAUGUGUAAGUAACUAUGCACGUCUUGACGGUACCGAAGCAGAAAGCCACGGCUAACUACGU